rnacentral:rRNA from 1 species
ACGGAAUAGAUACCCGGGUAGUCCACGCCCUAAACGAUGUCUACUAGUUGUCGGGGAUUCAUUUCCUUGGUAAACGCAGCUAAACGCGUGAAAGUAGACCGCCUGGGGAGUACGGCCGCAAGGUUAAAACUCAAAGGAAUUGACGGGGACCCGCACAAGCGGUGGAUGACGUGGAUUAAUUCGAUGCAACGCGAAAAACCUUACCUACGCUUGACAUGCCAGGAACUUUCCAGAGAUGGAUUGGUGCCCGAAAGGGAACCUGGACACAGGUGCUGCAUGGCUGUCGUCAGCUCGUGUCGUGAGAUGUUGGGUUAGGUCCCGCAACGAGCGCAACCCUUAUCCUUAGUUGCUACGCAAGGGCACUCUAGGGAGACUGCCGGUGACAAACCGGAGGAAGGUGGGGAUGACGUCAAGUCCUCAUGGCCCUUAUGUGUAGGGCUUCACACGUCAUACAAUGGUCGGUACAGAGGGUCGCAACCCGCGAGGGGUAGCCAAUCCCAGAAAACCGAUCGUAGUCCGGAUUGCAGUCUGCAACUCGACUGCAUGAAGUC